CUGUUUAUUUAUAGCUCUGUAUGGAUGUAGCCUCUCCGCUGUGCCAAAAGCUCAUAUUCUAGGGACAAGCCCAACCAAAGGUUUCUGCGGGUCAAGCCGGCUCGGAGCACAGCACGCCUGAAUUUAGCUCUCCUGCCUCUCGGGGGAUGCAUGCACAGAGCUGUCCGAGGGCGCACCUUUGGUUGCGGGUGCUGUUGCACGUCAACUAGAAAGAGAAAGGGAAGAAGCAAGGACGCAGCGCUGCCGGCCUUCCCGUACCGAACGGGGAAACCGGUUCCUUCUUAUUUAACGGGCGGAAUUGAGGAAAAGCAAGCAGUUCCUGGAAAGCGAGCCCUCGCUCCCCGCCGCUUCGGGAAGAGUUUGGGUUUCACCCAGCCACCACCGCAGCGAGCGAGCCCAGGCUGCCGGCACCGGCUUACCCCGCAUCCCCCCAGCCCCGCCGCUCACCCACCUUGAGCUAAGACUUGACGAAAAUCCUUUCUCCGGCGCUUUGCAGCAGCCGCCGCAUCACCUCCUCGCUGGCGGCAGGCACCGAGCUCGCCCAGAGGCAGUGCCGAGCAUCCCGGGCACCCAGCGAGCUCCUGGCUGUGGCUCCGAAAAACACGGGGGCCGUCCUUUCGGGGUCCGCGGCAUCGGAGCCCUUGCGUUUAUUUGCAAAGAGCCCGGAGAACCCCUAAAAAAAAAAAAAAACAAAAAAAAACAAGGGAGCGGAGCUGGAGCGUGGGAAAGCGGCGCGGCGGCGGCGGGGAUGCUCCGGGCUCCUCCGCUCGGCUCCCCGGUGUGUCACGGGCAGCUGGUGACGCCACCGACAACGUCAUCGUGCAACAAGUGACGUCGUUUGGCGAGAGCUGCUGCAGCGGGGGAGAAAAGACCCGAGGGAGAGCCGGGGCUGCGGGGGCAGGAGGGCAGCGCCCCGCCGCGGGGCAGCAGCGGAGUGCCGGGGGUGGUGGUGGAGUUAUUUCGGUUUGUUUUAACCAUCCAGAAGCUAAACAAGCCUCCUUUGCUGAAAUCCUGGAGCGAGAGAUGCUGUGUUUCAUCCGAAGAAAUAUUAUCACGAGAAUAUUAAAUGUUAGGGAUGAUAGGAAUCAGGAAGGGAUGUCGCCGCUCUCCCUUGGGUCCAGUUACAACUUUCAAGACUACGCCAUAAUUCCAGCUUCUCUUAGCUUCUCAAUGUGUUUUAGUCCUGUGAUGAAAGGGGAACUGCUCGGGACUGAUUUAUGAGUACUCUGGUUUGACUCGGUUGCCCCACGAAAAUAACACUUCAAAUCAAAAGGAAAAUGAAAGGAAAAAGUAUGGCUCAAGAUAAGCCACUUUCCUGCAAACAAUAGCUGAGAGACAGUGCCAGGCUUCUUUGCACUGGAGGGGAAGAGAAUUAGGGAGGUGGAGAAAGGAGCACAUUCACAAAAGGCUGGGAAUUAGCUGGCAGAGUUAAUCCGAGACACUUCAGUGCCUGGCAGAGUCCAGUUUGCUUUGGAAAUUUACCUUGCAAAUUUCACAUCACAAAUACCAAAAUAUAGAUUAUUUUUGCUUAUUUUAUGAUUUUUUCCCCACCAAAUGCUUUAUUUUUUGAAGGGUCUUUUUGUAUGUUCAUGCAUCGUCAGCCAUGAGCUCCCAAAGGUGAGGAUGAGGAGCUGAACUCAGCCUGGAUCCCCAGUAAAGAGAAGCCAGGCUCGGAACAAUUACAGGCUCACAGCGGGGCAGGGUGGCCUUGGAUCAGGAGGGGGACUGGAGAGCAGAUACCUCCAUAAAUGCCUACCCUUGUGUUCCUCUCCUCAAAGUAUACAGGCUAGUUAUCCCCUGCACUCAGAGGCAGCACCAGUCCAAGGAGGCGUCGUAAUAAAGUGCCUCGUUUACAUUGAUACUCGCACAAAAUAGCCUGGGACCAAAAACAACAGCAGCACACAUCGGGCUGAGACGAAUGCUCGGUCACGCCAAGAUCCCUUUAGGUUUUUCUGGCGGUAUAAAGCACUCAGUAACAAAGCCGUGCAGUACCAGGAACCCUGCCGGGCACGUGCCUGGCUGGGUGCAGAUGGCAGAUUUCUGUGGCCUGAGCCCAGCUGCGGCAGCUUGGCUGGGUUCCUCCGUCCUCUGCUGUCUGUGUCCAACACCAUUUGGAGGUCCCUGGAAGAGGGGCAUAAAUGGGCUUGGCAAGAGUGAGAAUAGGACCCUAAUAUGACAGCUAAGUACAUACCACAGAAAUCUCUGUUGGGCUAGGCAAAUGCCCAGUAAGGGCUGCUGAUAUCAUAUUUCUUAUUUAUUUAUAUCAAACCAUUUUUUCCCUUUACUUAAAUCUCACUGAUGGUUCUCAUAGGAACGUGCAGGCACCGACUAUCGCGCUUAACCUAAUUCUCUCCCAUUCUUUUUAUUUGCUUGUAAUGUCCAAUUGUUGUCUCUUAUCGUAAAUUAGUCAUACACUCCCUGGUGGGGGAACAGUUUCUUAUAUGCUUGUGUGACUCUUAACAUAAUAGGACGCCUGGGUGUUGGUUGAAUAAUACAAAUAAUCAGACAUAACACUUCUACAACAAA